GUUUGUCUCUUCAUAGAUACAAUAAAUUUGGAACGAUGCAUAAGAUUUGCAAGUCAUUUGCGCAAGAAUGACAUGCAUAAAUUGAGAAAUGGCCUAAAUUUUU